GAUGAACGCUAGCUACAGGCUUAACACAUGCAAGUCGAGGGGUAACAAGAGAAAAGCUUGCUUUUCUUGUUGACGACCGGCGCACGGGUGAGUAACGCGUAUCCAACCUGCCUAUAACUAGGGAAUAACCUUGCGAAAGUAAGACUAAUACCCUAUGAUUUCCUUUGAUGACAUCAGAUUAGGAAUAAAGAUUUAUCGGUUAUAGAUGGGGAUGCGUCUGAUUAGCUUGUGGGCGGGGUAAUGGCCCACCAAGGCAACGAUCAGUAGGGGUUCUGAGAGGAAGGUCCCCCACAUUGGAACUGAGACACGGUCCAAACUCCUACGGGAGGCAGCAGUGAGGAAUAUUGGUCAAUGGGCGGAAGCCUGAACCAGCCAAGUAGCGUGCAGGAUGACGGCCCUAUGGGUUGUAAACUGCUUUUAUACAGGAAUAAAGUUAGCCACGUGUGGUUAUUUGUAGGUACUGUAUGAAUAAGGACCGGCUAAUUCCGUGCCAGCAGCCGCAGUAA
rnacentral:rRNA from 1 species